UGUUGAACUGGAUGCCUCACUUCUGGAAGACGAUAGCCCUAUACUGAAAAAGAUUAAAUGGCUGAAAGAAACCACACCUAACAAGGACAAUAAGGCAGAAAUAUAUAACAUAAUGAAGGAAAGUCAUGACUAUCGUAGGCUUGAAAUACAGCUGAAGCCUAUGACCUUAACUGACAUUUUAGAAAAGUACCCAAGGUUCUGUGAUGCUUAUGAGGGUGGAUUGAUUGACUGUGAAUUUGAGAUGAAUUACCCGGAGUGUAAG